UGUGGUGUAGCUUAAUGGUAGAUAUAGCAUAUGCCUGGAAUGUACAAGACCCUGGGUUUUAUCCCCAGCACUGCAC
rnacentral:tRNA from 1 species